rnacentral:rRNA from 1 species
GCUUCCCUCUUUCUUCGUGCCUAAUACAUGCAAGUCGAGCGAACGGACGAGAAGCUUGCUUUUCUGAUGUUAGCGGCGGACGGGUGAGUAACACGUGGAUAACCUACCUAUAAGACUGGGAUAACUUCGGGAAACCGGAGCUAAUACCGGAUAAUAUUUUGAACCGCAUGGUUCAAAAGUGAAAGACGGUCUUGCUGUCACUUAUAGAUGGAUCCGCGCUGCAUUAGCUAGUUGGUAAGGUAACGGCUUACCAAGGCAACGAUGCAUAGCCGACCUGAGAGGGUGAUCGGCCACACUGGAACUGAGACACGGUCCAGACUCCUACGGGAGGCAGCAGUAGGGAAUCUUCCGCAAUGGGCGAAAGCCUGACGGAGCAACGCCGCGUGAGUGAUGAAGGUCUGCGGAUCGUAAAACUCUGUUAUUAGGGAAGAACAUAUGUGUAAGUAACUGUGCACAUCUUGACGGUACCUAAUCAGAAAGCCACGGCUAACUACGUG